GAUGAACGCUGGCGGCGUGCCUAAUACAUGCAAGUCGAGCGAACAGAUGAGGAGCUUGCUGCUCUGACGUUAGCGGCGGACGGGUGAGUAACACGUGGAUAACCUACCUAUAAGACUGGGAUCACUUCGGGAAACCGGAGCUUAUACCGGAUAAUAUAUUGCAGCGUAUGGUUCAAUAGUGAAAGACGGUUUUGCUGGCACUUAUAGAUGGAUACGGGCCUCAUUAGGUAGUUGGGAAGGUAACGGCUUACCAAGGCAACGAUGCGUAGCCGACCUGUGAGGGGGAUCGGCCGCACGGGAACGGAGACGCGCACAAGACUCCUACGGGAGGCAGCAGUAGGGAAUCGUCCGCAAUGGGCGAAAACCUGACGGAGCAGCGCCGCGUGAGUGAUGAAGGUCUUGGGAUCGUAAAGCUCUGUUAUUGGGGAUGAACAAAUGUGUAAGUAGCUAUGCACGUCUUGACGGUACCUAAUCAGAAAGCCACGGCUAACUACGUG
rnacentral:rRNA from 1 species